UACGUAGGGGGCAAGCGUUGUCCGGAAUCAUUGGGCGUAAAGCGCGUGUAGGCGGCUCGAUAAGUCUGCUGUGAAAGUCCAGGGCUCAACCCUGGGAUGCCGGUGGAUACUGUCGAGCUCGAGUCCGGAAGAGGCGAGUGGAAUUCCUGGUGUAGCGGUGAAAUGCGUAGAGAUCCGGAAGAACACCGGUGGCGAAGGCGGUGAGCUGGGCAGUUGCUGACACUGAGGCGCGACAGCGUGGGGAGCAAACAGG
rnacentral:rRNA from 1 species